rnacentral:rRNA from 1 species
AUGCUCGCCUACCCAAGCACGUCGACCCCGCCGUGGCCGCAGCGCCACCCGGCCGCCGCUUCCCCGCGCCGCGUCGCGGUGGCGGCCGCGCCCGCGGGUGCGCCGGCCAGGGGCAAGCGGCGGCGGGCGGGCGCCGGGGAGGCGGAGGCCGACCCGGCCGCCGAGGCCGCGGAGCUGGUGCGGUUCUUCCUGCGCAAGAGCGACGGCGGCAAGGACCGGCUGGUGUCCGUGCUGGACCGCCACGUCAAGGUGGUCCGCACCGAGCACUGCUUCCUCCUCUUCGAGGAGCUCGGCCGCCGCGAUGGCUGGGUCCAGUGCCUCGAGAUUUUCAGGUGGAUGCAGAAGCAGCGGUGGUACGUGGCUGACAACGGCAUCUAUUCAAAGCUGAUAUCUGUGAUGGGAAGAAAGGGGCAGAUACGGAUGGCCAUGUGGCUCUUCUCUCAGAUGCGCAACAGCGGGUGCAAGCCGGACACUUCGGUGUACAAUUCCCUCAUCGGUGCGCAUCUGCAUUCACGGGACAAGAGUAAGGCUUUGGUGAAAGCUCUCGGCUAUUUUGACAAGAUGAAGGGCAUGGAGAGAUGCCAGCCGAAUAUUGUGACGUACAACAUCCUCUUGAGGGCGUGUGCUCGGGCUAGUGACACGAAGCAGGUGGACAUCCUUUUCAAGGAUCUGGAUGAAAGCAUAGUCUCUCCAGAUAUCUACACGUAUAAUGGAGUGAUCGACGGAUAUGGGAAGAAUGGCAUGAUUACAGAGAUGGAGUCUGUAUUGGUCCGGAUGAAAAGCAAGCGGUGCCGUCCAGAUGUGAUCACAUUCAACAUACUCAUAGAUUCGUAUGGGCGAAAGCAGACAUUCGACAAGAUGGAGCAGGUGUUCAAGAGUUUAUUGCGAUCCAAGGAGAGACCUACCCACCCAACGUUCAAUUCCAUGAUAACAAACUAUGGGAAAGCAAGGCUUAGAGAGAAAGCUGAGUCUGUACUUGAGAAGAUGGGAGAAUUGGGAUUCAAACCGAAUUAUGUGACGCAAGAGUGCCUCAUCAAUAUGUACGCAUAUUGUGAUUGCGUCUCAAAGGCCCAGCAGAUAUUUGAUGAGCUCGUAAGCUCACAAAGUACUGUUCCCCUAUCUUCAUUGAAUGCAAUGCUUGAUGCCUACUGCAUGAACCGCUUGCCUAUGGAAGCAGAUCGGCUGUUGGAUAGUGUGAUUGAGAAAGGUGUAGUGCCCAGUGCUUCCACAUAUAAGCUGCUUUACAAGGCAUACACCAGGGCUAACGAUAAGAUGCUUGUCCAGAAGCUGCUCCAGCGGAUGAAUAAGCAGGGUAUUGUUCCGAAUAAGAAGUUCUUCCUUGAUGCCCUGGAAGCAUUUGGCACCUCUCCCAGUAAACCCAGGAGAGUACAAACCUCAAACUCUGCAAGAGAGUCAAGUAGAGAUUCUGCAAGUAAUUCGGAAAUGGCUAGUUCAAGCAAGCCAGUGUUAAGUACUUUGGAAGCAGUUGGCGCUUCCAAGAAAACCCCCAGGAUAUUACCCAAUUCAAACUCUGCAAGCAAGCCAGAAACAGGUUCCAAGAUGAACUGGCGAACAUUAGGGAGACCUCAACACUGGAUUUCAAACAAUAUGGAGCCAUGUGAGCUCACCACCUCUGAGAUGUCCCCCUUCAUGAGACUCCGGCUCUUUCCACUCCAGACUUCAGUGCAGUGUCAAGGUUGA